rnacentral:rRNA from 1 species
CAGCAGCCGCGGGAAAACGUAGGGUGCGAGCGUUAAUCGGAAUUACUGGGCGUAAAGCGUGCGCAGGCGGUUCGUUAAGACAGAUGUGAAAUCCCCGGGCUUAACCUGGGAACUGCAUUUGUGACUGGCGAGCUAGAGUAUGGCAGAGGGGGGUAGAAUUCCACGUGUAGCAGUGAAAUGCGUAGAGAUGUGGAGGAAUACCGAUGGCGAAGGCAGCCCCCUGGGCCAAUACUGACGCUCAUGCACGAAAGCGUGGGGAGCAAACAGGAUUAGAUACCCGGGUAGUCCCUGUCUCUUAUAC